GUCAACUACCCCGCCGUGAACGACGGGGCUUGUAGAGAGCACCCUACACGCCAGGUUGACCAGGGAAAGCGGUAACCAACCCGCUACGUUUACCACAGGUCGUUAAGACCCACUUCGGUGUGCUUCCUCAGCACCGGACACUGGA
rnacentral:sRNA from 19 species